rnacentral:rRNA from 1 species
UACGAAGGGGGCUAGCGUUGCUCGGAAUCACUGGGCGUAAAGGGCGCGUAGGCGGAUCUUUAAGUCGGGGGUGAAAGCCUGAGGCUCAACCUCAGAAUUGCCUUCGAUACUGGAGAUCUUGAGACCGGAAGAGGUAAGUGGAACUGCGAGUGUAGAGGUGAAAUUCGUAGAUAUUCGCAAGAACACCAGUGGCGAAGGCGGCUCACUGGCCCGGUACUGACGCUGAGGCACGAAAGCGUGGGGAGCAAACAGG